CUGACAAUGACCCUACCAGUUGAACAAUAAAUAACAACAAAUAACAUAUAACUUGAAACACACGGCCUACUAAAGAGGCCCCAUAUCAUCCGGUUAACUGUAGGGGUAUACCUCGGACACCCCUACACCCCCAGGUUCGUAGCCACCGAAGAGCUAGAACCAACCAAUCCUUAACUCCAUCCGGCCUAAACCUUGGCCUGUCCAGUUCAAAUUCCACGCAAAAUUCCAAUAUUUACAACGCCCUGUUCCGCCACAGCACAUGGCUUGACCCCCUUAAGCGAAUGUGCGACCCCCACCACAUCUAAACAGGGCCUGUGCUAGACCAUCUUGAAAACCCAGGUUUAGCAAAUCAUUCCCCACGUCUGAUAGGUGUAUACCAUCCCUCCUAAAAUAUCCCGGCAACAUACCCUCUAAUUCCCUGUGCCUCACCACUACGCCCCCUGACCAUCUAAUAAAAACUGCCAUAAUCUUGUUGACCUUACCCCUAGAUCGUGCUAUUGCAGCUGGAUCCCUGGCGUGCUUCCACGUAAAGCGAGGCACCAUCUCAGACCAAACUACAACCACGCCAGGGACCAGCUCCCUCAGCCGAUCCAUAUCCCUCUUCAUCUUCCAAACCAGCAAUCUUUGGGGAAUCAAACCCAGAUCGUUCCCCCCGCCGUGAACCAAUACCACAUCUGGGACCGCCCCCCCAGACAACUUUCUAAAUAAUGCGCUGCAGAGACCCUGCCAGCUAGCGCCCCUCAAACCAAACCAUGAUAACUCCACCCGCUCCAACGGAAAGCCCAGCUGCGAUCCGCAUCUUCGAACUGCGGCUCUCUUCUGUGCCCAGUACACAUACGAGUGUCCCAUCAACCAAACUUUCAAACCUGAAAAGAAACAAAAUUAGUUGCAAAGGAGACAACUUCCCCCCUUUCCCAAGUUCCUACACAACGCUUACUCACACCAGCCUGUCGGGCCUCA